rnacentral:misc_RNA from 1 species
UUAAGUUCAGCGGGUAUCCCUACCUGAUCCGAGGUCAAACUUAGAAAGUUGGGGGUUGAUGACAAGAACCGCCUGGUCUCUAUAGCGAGGAUAUUUACUACGCUCAGAGCCCAAACGGCGCCGCCACUGAUUUUAAGGCCCGCUGGAGCCAGCGGAGCCCAAUACCAAGCAGUGCUUGAGGGUUGUAAUGACGCUCGAAC